UUUAUGGAGAGUUUGAUCCUGGCUCAGGAUGAACGCUGGCGGCGUGCCUAAUACAUGCAAGUCGAGCGAACGGACGAGAAGCUUGCUUCUCUGAUGUUAGCGGCGGACGGGUGAGUAACACGUGGAUAACCUACCUAUAAGACUGGGAUAACUUCGGGAAACCGGAGCUAAUACCGGAUAAUAUUUUGAACCGCAUGGUUCAAAAGUAAAAGACGGUCUUGCUGUCACUUAUAGAUGGAUCCGCGCUGCAUUAGCUAGUUGGUAAGGUAACGGCUUACCAAGGCAACGAUGCAUAGCCGACCUGAGAGGGUGAUCGGCCACACUGGAACUGAGACACGGUCCAGACUCCUACGGGAGGCAGCAGUAGGGAAUCUUCCGCAAUGGGCGAAAGCCUGACGGAGCAACGCCGCGUGAGUGAUGAAGGUCUUCGGAUCGUAAAACUCUGUUAUUAGGGAAGAACAUAUGUGUAAGUAACUGUGCACAUCUUGACGGUACCUAAUCAGAAAGCCACGGCUAACUACGUGCCAGCAGCCGCGGUAAUACGUAGGUGGCAAGCGUUAUCCGGAAUUAUUGGGCGUAAAGCGCGCGUAGGCGGUUUUUUAAGUCUGAUGUGAAAGCCCACGGCUCAACCGUGGAGGGUCAUUGGAAACUGGAAAACUUGAGUGCAGAAGAGGAAAGUGGAAUUCCAUGUGUAGCGGUGAAAUGCGCAGAGAUAUGGAGGAACAUCAGUGGCGAAGGCGACUUUCUGGUCUGUAACUGACGCUGAUGUGCGAAAGCGUGGGGAUCAAACAGGAUUAGAUACCCUGGUAGUCCACGCCGUAAACGAUGAGUGCUAAGUGUUAGGGGGUUUCCGCCCCUUAGUGCUGCAGCUAACGCAUUAAGCACUCCGCCUGGGGAGUACGACCGCAAGGUUGAAACUCAAAGGAAUUGACGGGGACCCGCACAAGCGGUGGAGCAUGUGGUUUAAUUCGAAGCAACGCGAAGAACCUUACCAAAUCUUGACAUCCUUUGACAACUCUAGAGAUAGAGCCUUCCCCUUCGGGGGACAAAGUGACAGGUGGUGCAUGGUUGUCGUCAGCUCGUGUCGUGAGAUGUUGGGUUAAGUCCCGCAACGAGCGCAACCCUUAAGCUUAGUUGCCAUCAUUAAGUUGGGCACUCUAAGUUGACUGCCGGUGACAAACCGGAGGAAGGUGGGGAUGACGUCAAAUCAUCAUGCCCCUUAUGAUUUGGGCUACACACGUGCUACAAUGGACAAUACAAAGGGCAGCGAAACCGCGAGGUCAAGCAAAUCCCAUAAAGUUGUUCUCAGUUCGGAUUGUAGUCUGCAACUCGACUACAUGAAGCUGGAAUCGCUAGUAAUCGUAGAUCAGCAUGCUACGGUGAAUACGUUCCCGGGUCUUGUACACACCGCCCGUCACACCACGAGAGUUUGUAACACCCGAAGCCGGUGGAGUAACCUUUUAGGAGCUAGCCGUCGAAGGUGGGACAAAUGAUUGGGGUGAAGUCGUAACAAGGUAGCCGUAUCGGAAGGUGCGGCUGGAUCACCUCCUUUCU
rnacentral:rRNA from 1 species